GACGAACGCUGGCGGCGUGCCUAAUACAUGCAAGUCGAGCGGACGAAUCGAAAGCUUGCUUUUGAUUCGUUAGCGGCGGACGGGUGAGUAACACGUGGGCAACCUGCCCUGUAGGCGGGGAUAACACCGAGAAAUCGGUGCUAAUACCGGAUAACACGAAAUGUCGCAUGACGUUUCGUUGAAAGACGGCGCAAGCUGUCGCUACAGGAUGGGCCCGCGGCGCAUUAGCUAGUUGGUGAGGUAACGGCUCACCAAGGCGACGAUGCGUAGCCGACCUGAGAGGGUGAUCGGCCACACUGGGACUGAGACACGGCCCAGACUCCUACGGGAGGCAGCAGUAAGGAAUCUUCCGCAAUGGACGAAAGUCUGACGGAGCAACGCCGCGUGAGCGAAGAAGGCCUUCGGGUCGUAAAGCUCUGUUGUUAGGGAAGAACAAGUAACGCAGUAACUGGCGUUACCGUGACGGUACCUAACGAGAAAGCCACGGCUAACUACGUG
rnacentral:rRNA from 1 species